rnacentral:rRNA from 1 species
UACAGAGGGGGCAAGCGUUAUUCGGAAUUAUUGGGCGUAAAGAGCUCGUAGGCGGUCUGUCGCGUCGGACGUGAAAACCCAGGGCUCAACCCUGGGCCUGCAUUCGAUACGGGCAGACUAGAGUUCGGUAGGGGAGACUGGAAUUCCUGGUGUAGCGGUGAAAUGCGCAGAUAUCAGGAGGAACACCGGUGGCGAAGGCGGGUCUCUGGGCCGAAACUGACGCUGAGGAGCGAAAGCGUGGGGAGCAAACAGG